rnacentral:rRNA from 1 species
AAUAUUGGACAAUGGGGGCAACCCUGACCCAGCCAUGCCGCGUGUGUGAAGAAGGUCUUCGGAUUGUAAAGCUCUCUAAGUUGGGAGUAAGGACUUUAGCCUCAUACCCUGAAGUCUUGACGCUACCAACAGUAUAAGCACCGGCUACCUCAGUGCCAGCAGCCGCGGUAAUACAGAGGGUGCAAGCGUUAAUCGGAAUUACUGGGCGUAAAGCGCGCGUAGGUGGUUCAGUAAGAUGGGUGUGAAAUCCCCGGGCUUAACCUGGGAACUGCUUUCAUAACUGCUGAGCUAGAGUACGGUAGAGGGUAGUGGAAUUUCCUGUGUAGCGGUGAAAUGCGUAGAUAUAGGAAGGAACACCAGUGGCGAAGGCGACUACCUGGACUGAUACUGACACUGAGGUGCGAAAGCAUGGGGAGCAAAC